UGGCUCUCGCAUCGAUGAAGAACGCAGCGAAAUGUGAUACGUAGUGUGAAUUGCAGAAUUCAGUGAAUCAUCGAAUCUUUGAACGCAUCUUGCGCUCCCUGGUUAUUCCGAGGAGCAUGUCUGUUUGAGUGUCGUGUAAACUCUCAAUCUCCCCAUUUCUUGCCCUUGUGCUCGAAAUGGGCUUCAGAUUGGAUCAUGACUUUUGCCGUCCCUUCUUUCAAUCACUUGGAGGCGGGACAGCUAGGUCAAAAUGUAGGCAAGUGCCCAAACCAUGUUUCGCAUGGGUAUCGGUCGGCUUGAAACUCGACGUUGUAAUCUCCUCGUUGAGCGACGACUGUUCCCAAUUGCUGGCGUGUGUUGCACUUUGAAAUCUGUGCAUCUCUCUCCUUGCGGAGGCGAGCAAAUUGACCUCAAAUCAGGCAGGACUACCCGCUGA
rnacentral:misc_RNA from 1 species